UACGGAGGGAGCUAGCGUUGUUCGGAAUUACUGGGCGUAAAGCGCACGUAGGCGGCUUUGUAAGUUAGAGGUGAAAGCCCGGGGCUCAACCCCGGAAUUGCCUUUAAGACUGCAUCGCUUGAAUCCGGGAGAGGUGAGUGGAAUUCCGAGUGUAGAGGUGAAAUUCGUAGAUAUUCGGAAGAACACCAGUGGCGAAGGCGGCUCACUGGCCCGAUACUGACGCUGAGGUGCGAAAGGCGUGGGGGAGCAAAACAGG
rnacentral:rRNA from 1 species